rnacentral:rRNA from 1 species
GACGAACGCUGGCGGCGUGCCUAAUACAUGCAAGUCGAACGCAGUGGGGACGGGUGAGUAACACGUGGGUAACCUCCCAUCAGAGGGGAUAACACUUGGAAACAGGUGCUAAACCGAUAUUGGUGGAUGGACCCGUGGUGCAUUAGCUAGUUGGUGAGGUAACGGCUCACCAAGGCCACGAUGCCUAGCCGACUGAAGAGGUGGGUCGGCCACACUGGGACGGAGACACGGCCCAGACUCCUACGGGAGGCAGCAGUAGUGAAGUUUCGGCAAUGGACGAAAGUCUGACCGAGCAACGCCGCGUGAGUGAAGAAGGUUUUCGGAUCGUAAACCUCGGUUGUGAGAGAAGCGGUAUCUAACCAGAAAGCCACGGCUAACUACGUGCCAGCAGCCGCGGUAAUAC